GUCAAAAUUUGAUAUAUUCUAUUAUUCUCUGAAAAAUUGAAUCCUGGUAUGAAAACAAAUUACAAUACCUGCUAGAUUACUUCUUUUUCCUUAGUUAUGCAGCAGCUGGAUGCUGGAAAAACAUUAACUCUCUGAACUCUGGAAAUAAUGGCAAUACCUCAGUUGUUCAAUAUGACUACUGCCAAGUGGCAAUCCACAUUCAUUCAGCAGACUCAGAAUUCACUCCUCUUGGGAGGCCCUUCUAGUACAUCCCUUACUCACUCUGCAUAUAGAGUACAGCAAGGUGGACCAAGAGCUUUGGAAGUGUGAUCAUGCCAGCAGCAGCCAGAGAGGGAGGGAAUGUACAGAAAAUGUAGAUGCUGUCUUUCAACUUUUCUCUCAAUAUCUGUCUGAGCUUAUAUAUGGCAUCCUGUGCAGGACAAGGAAAAAAACAAGUACUCUCACUGUGUUCAUUACCUGACAGCCUCUGAGAAACAUAGGAAGUUAAUCUUGUCUCAUUUCCAAAGCAUAACAAAAGUGUGAGGACCCAAUACCUCACUUCAUUUAUCCUGGUUUACAUGGCAUUGGACUGAACAUGGGCAGUUGCUACCCAGGCCCUGCGGUGAAGGUUCUGUAAAAGGCUGCCAGAGGCAAAAAGACUGUCAGCAGCUGUAGUCCUUCACUGCAGCCUUCCACAGUACUGCUGAAGCAACAAAUUUUGCAGCUACACAAGCUGAGACUUACCAGAGGAUGCUAUGCAAGGCUCCAUCUUUACAGACUGUCUCCACACCAAGACGAGGGAUGUGCAGACAUCUAAUCCCAACAAAGAAACAAACAAAAAGAUAACCAAGUAAAUAAUCUUUGUAAGAGAAAAGUGUAAGUAAAAUAAUCACCUAAUCAUGCUUCAAACUUCCCUAGGAACAGUAAACCUCUGCUUGGCUUUCAUCUUUUCCUGUCAGGUACUUAUACAGAAGACAAGCUUCUGAGACACCAUUUCAGUGGAUCUAUGCUUGAGCUGGCUUUGGAGAUGAUCCAAGGCGGGUCUAGAGAUACUCAUUUACAGAGAAAGGCUGGGGCUGCCUAUUUUACUCAGUCAACUCAGUUAAACAAUGAUCUGAAUGUGUCUGAUUUUUGGCAAAGAUAGCCUAGCCUCCCACUACUCCAGAAGGAAUCUUGCACUCUAUUCUCUCAGUUCAAGGGAAAGUUCCAGCAGGGAGAUGUUCUGGUCUGAGGACAAAGCUGUUGCCGGAAAUCACAGAACUUGAUGUUGAAACAGCAAAGACUGUUGUCACAGCUAGCAGUAAAAUCCACCCCUGUACUCAAGUUUCUUACAAAAGUACAUUUAAGUAUUCAUACUUUUCAGUGGGGAAAAAUCCCAAGCCCAAACUAAGAAACAAAACAGCACAAAUCUGCUUCUUGAUAGUAAGCGCAGAAGGAGAACAUUACGUUGGGCAAAGCGUUACUGUGCUGUGGUUUGUGCAAGCAUGCAUGGAGGAGGGAGGUUUCAGAUUAGUUUGAAGAGCAGCUUCUGGAAACUACUGGGCUCGGCAUUACUGAUUUAAUCCCUUGGAACCUUUUCCUUAUCUGCAAUGAAAGAUACACAUUUUAGCAGUAAUUCUAAACCUAACGUUCAAUGUCAGCUAUAACAACAGGCAAAACUAAACUCCUUCAAAACAUUCAACCACAGAUAAACUUUCAAAGAGUUAUGCAUGACUGCCAAGAAGUUAGCUACUGAUAUCUCUGAGCGUUCAUGGGAUAAAUUUGGCUCACUCGAAGUACUGCCCAAACAGAUGGGCCAGUUGUCAAAGCUAAAAAUGAGCUUCCAAAGUGCGCAAGAAGGCGCAAUGACACUGCCACAGUUCCUGAUGUCACGACCACAAGGAAGAAAACUUAAUGCAUAUUCAGCAUAUUCUGAGAGCGCUGAUACAAUAAAGUCACAAAAAUUACAGAUGGAGCUUGUAGAGGAAACACUACACUGGGAGAUAAGACUUGACCAUGGUUAUAGCCUUGCACUGGAAAAACAACCUACUUACGUUGGAUCAACCGAGUAGGUUCAGUAGAAACAAUUCUUUGCUAUUGCUACUGUGACAGAAGAUGGUGUAAAGGUGUAGUACUGUUUUUCUAUGUGUAACCAUCUUUAAGAAAUUAAAGUCACAUUUUUUAGACAAGUUUUUUUUUUUAAAAGAGACAAACUACUUUGAUUAAAACAAGGGGUAACGUGUGGAAGGGGGAAAUGAAAAAAUCCAGUGAAAAUCCUUCACAAUUUUUAGAGAUAAUCACAGAUAGUUUGGAUUUUUUAAACUUUGUCAGUAAUAACUGUGAAAGUUUACUCUAAUUAAAGGUGUAAUUUUAUCACAUUAAUCAAGUGCCGUGGUUCUAAAUAGCAUAUGGGCUUUUGAGAACUGAAGAGCUUGAUUUUCUGAAAGUGGGGUGCAUACUGAAUAGCUUGAAUCUGUUUUUCAGGAUGUAUUUUUAAUUUUACUUGAGAAACACCUGGAUCUCACUAGGACUAAUAAAAAACUGACAUUUUUAGAGAGAAAACAAACCCACUGAGUUGAAGAUUGAAGAAUGCCCAUAAAUUAGGCUUUGGGGAAAUAUAAGACUUAGCUUCUGCAGUAGAAUAGCCCUCACUCUAAGUAUGAAAAAGUAGAUUAGGCAGCUUAGGUAUGUUCAUGACAAAAAUGAAGUCAAUUCACACAGAUCAAGAAGUGUGUUGGUGCUAGGACUUAGCAGAAAUCUGCUAGCCUUUUAUUACCAACAUUAUUAAUUGUUCAGCAAUCACUGGGUUUGUACUUGUUUGAAGAGAGAAUUAAAAUGUUACCCUCAAACAGAGUCUAGGUCAAAUGCUCUCAGAUUUCUUCAGUCAAACUCUGGCAGUAUCUCUUAAGGGGAUUCGAAAGGAGAAAGUAAGUCAGAAGAAACUAGUUCCACAUUCUCAUCUACACAAUGCUUCCUAUGCUACACUGAAGCAAUCCCUUCGGUCUUCCUGUGCCUCAGAGUUGUGAUGACUGCAUUUUCUCGUUUGUGCACAGAAAGCAGAAGGCACAAGGACGGUCUACAAGAAGAUUGUUUCUUAAAUUACUACAUUCAAGUGAAAUUAUAACAGUGUUUCAUUUUAUUUUUUUUAUCUUUUUAUACAAGGGGCUCUUUUGCUGCGGUGACUCAUUAGAAACCUAGCAAAGUUAUUUUGAAGCAAAUCAGUACUUAUUU
ensembl:lncRNA